AUUGAACGCUGGCGGCAUGCCUUACACAUGCAAGUCGAACGGCAGCACGGGGCAACCGGGUGGCGAGUGGCGAACGGGUGAGUAAUGCAUCGGAACGUACCUUUCAGUGGGGGAUAACGUAGCGAAAGAUACGCUAAUACCGCAUAUUCUGUGAGCCGGAAAUCAGGGGAUCGCCAGACCUUGCGCUGAUUGAUCGGCGGAUGUCAGUCUAGCUAGUUGGUGAGGUAAAGGCUCACCAAGGCGACGAUCUGUAGCGGGUCUGAGAGGAUGAUCCGCCACACUGGAACUGAGGCACGGUCCAGACUCCUACGGGAGGCAGCAGUGGGGAAUUUUGGACAAUGGGGGCAACCCUGAUCCAGCCAUGCCGCGUGAGUGAAGAAGGCCUUCGGGUUGUAAAGCUCUUUCGGCCGGGAAGAAAUCGCAUGGGCUAAUACCCUGUGUGGAUGACGGUACCGGAAUAAGAAGCACCGGCUAACUACGUGCCAGCCGCCGCGGUAA
rnacentral:rRNA from 1 species